AAGCACGCUGCCCGUGUAGGUUGGUUCCUGACUCCCGACCCUGACCUUUUCUUCCCUCAUCCAAGGAAACCCUUGUCUCCAUCCCUCCCACUCAUUUCAUCUUCAGGGCCCUUAUCUCCUCCUCAAAUUAUAAAUUUGUUCCAAAUCUCUUUCUCACUGAACUGUAAGCAACAAGAGGCCAGGCUCCCGUCUUCAUUUGCUCACUCUACUUUUUUUCACUUUUUCCAAGGCCCCGCAUAAUGACUGGAAAAGGACAGUUGUUAGAGAAACAAACAAGCAAGCAAACUACUAGAAAACUCCCUGUAUUUUCAACUUUCAUUACUGACUGUACUUUUUUUCAAGUACCAACAAUCAAGAUAUUUAGAUUGCAUGGAGGAACAAAAGUUUAAUUCCUCGUUUAAAAAAUUCCCUGUGUUGCAUUAAUUAGGAAUGUGGCAGCAAUAUGUUUUCUUCUAGUUCAUUUUUUUUCCUCGAGACAGACAUAUUUCAGUUAUGUACUGUGGCCAUCCAGUUUUUUGUGAGCUACUUGGAGUGUAACCGCUGUCUCUAACAUCAUUUUGAUGUCAAAAGGGAACUUACUGAGCCUGGCAUCGUUCUAAAUACUUUUGCAUAUUUAAAGCUAUUCCGUCUUCACAUAGCUAUGUAAAAUUGAUAUUUUUAAUUAUAAUUUUGCGGAAAAAGAAAUUAGAGGGGAAAUUAGAGAAGAUCAGAGAAGUUAAGUAGCUUGCCAAAGUCACACAGCUAGUGAAUAAAAUUAUUAGGAAGCUCUGUAUAACUCUAAAGCCCAUGCUUUCUCUGUCGUAUGAACUGACUUACAAGUAAAUAUUUUGAGACGGAGAAAAGAAGACCUCCUAAUUAAGUUCUAUUUUGGAUUAGUGGGAUCAACCUUCUGAGGAAACCAACAGUAAAAGUUGGACAAAAUCGUCGAUAAUGGAACUAAAACUUUUGUUCAGCAGAUUGGCCACCAGUUUUCACUGACAAAAUCCCACGUAGUUUUGGUGUGGAUGUAGCGACCGACUGUGUUUAACCAAAGAUAUGCCAAUCUGCUGUAAGUUUACUCACCAAUCAAAGCCAACGAUUCAAACCUGAUGACACGGAUGGUCAAAGGCUGGGAGCCAAGGCUGGCGGGCAGGUGUCUGAGGGAGCCUCUAGGCUCCGCAGAGGUGUGGAGCAGAGCCCCUGCUAGAUAUCACCCUGUGAUGACCCUGAGUAUUAGGGGCUGGGAAACUUGUCAAAAAAUAUGGAACUCUUAUGAAAGCAAUUCAGCCACUCCAGUUGAAUGGCAUCGUCUCUGCAGAGGGGCAUGUUUGCUUGACCACCAACCAUACGGCGGCUCUCAUCUCACAGUUUGCACACGGACGAUGAGGAAGCUAAGGCACAGAAGGGUUAAUUAUCUUUUCAAGGACACACAACAGGCAAGAUGUAAGAGUCGGGAUGAAACCAGGGUGUCCGGCUUCUGUAUGAACCACUCUGCUGUGCAGCCUCUCAGGACCGAUGUGUUCUCUCCUUCUUAUUAGGGAAGUGCAAUAUAACGGAAAGAGUCAUAAAACCUGAAUUUUAUUCUUAGAUUUUCAGCAGCUGUUUACUGUGGGCCAGUCAUUUAUUUUCUUUGGGCCUUAAUUCAGUAUUCUUAUCUAUAAAAGAAAAGAAUUGUGAGGCAAAGGACCUCUUUUUGUCUUCUCAGCCUC
ensembl:lncRNA